UACGGAGGGUGCAAGCGUUGUCCGGAUUUAUUGGGUUUAAAGGGUGCGUAGGCGGCUUUUUAAGUCAGUGGUGAAAUACAGCAGUUCAACUGUUGAGGUGCCAUUGAUACUGAGAGGCUUGAGUACAGAUGAGGUAGGCGGAAUUUAUGGUGUAGCGGUGAAAUGCAUAGAUACCAUAAAGAACACCGAUUGCGAAGGCAGCUUACUAAGCUGUAACUGACGCUGAGGCACGAAAGCGUGGGGAGCGAACAGG
rnacentral:rRNA from 1 species